CAGUCGCCGCGGGAAUACAGAGGGUGCGAGCGUUAAUUGGAUUUACUGGGCGUAAAGCGUGCGUAGGCGGCUUUUUAAGUCGGAUGUGAAAUCCCUGAGCUUAACUUAGGAAUUGCAUUCGAUACUGGGAAGCUAGAGUAUGGGAGAGGAUGGUAGAAUUCCAGGUGUAGCGGUGAAAUGCGUAGAGAUCUGGAGGAAUACCGAUGGCGAAGGCAGCCAUCUGGCCUAAUACUGACGCUGAGGUACGAAAGCAUGGGGAGCAAACAGGAUUAGAUACCCCGGUAGUCCCUGUCUCUUAUAC
rnacentral:rRNA from 1 species